rnacentral:rRNA from 1 species
CGGACGGGUGAGUAACGCGUGGGUAACCUGCCUCAUACAGGGGGAUAACAGUUAGAAAUGACUGCUAAUACCGCAUAAGCACACAGAAUCGCAUGAUUCGGUGUGAAAAACUCCGGUGGUAUGAGAUGGACCCGCGUCUGAUUAGCUAGUUGGUGGGGUAAAGGCCUACCAAGGCGACGAUCAGUAGCCGACCUGAGAGGGUGAUCGGCCACAUUGGGACUGAGACACGGCCCAAACUCCUACGGGAGGCAGCAG